UUAUGAUGAUGAUGAUGAUGGUGGUGGUGGUGGUGGUGGUGAUGAUGAUGAUGACAAUGUGAAACAGAGAGAGAGAGAGAAAGACAGACAAUAUUUGGCACGACUUAUUAUAAUUCCAAAUAAAAAAAUCUUAUUCCGCCACGUUUUUUCCGCUACCAUCCUAAUCAUCAUCAUCAUCAUCAUCAUCAUCAUCAUCAUACAAU
rnacentral:pre_miRNA from 2 species